rnacentral:rRNA from 1 species
UGGAUCCAGACUUUGAUCCUGGCUCAGGAUGAACGCUAGCUACAGGCUUAACACAUGCAAGUCGAGGGGAAACGAUAUUGGAAGCUUGCUUCCGAUGGGCGUCGACCGGCGCACGGGUGAGUAACGCGUAUCCAACCUGCCCACCACUUGGGAAUAACCUUGCGAAAGUAAGACUAAUACCCAAUGAUAUCUCUAGAAGACAUCUGAAAGAGAUUAAAGAUUUAUCGGUGAUGGAUGGGGAUGCGUCUGAUUAGCUUGUUGGCGGGGUAACGGCCCACCAAGGCGACGAUCAGUAGGGGUUCUGAGAGGAAGGUCCCCCACAUUGGAACUGAGACACGGUCCAAACUCCUACGGGAGGCAGCAGUGAGGAAUAUUGGUCAAUGGGCGAGAGCCUGAACCAGCCAAGUAGCGUGCAGGAUGACGGCCCUAUGGGUUGUAAACUGCUUUUAUAAGGGAAUAAAGUGAGCCUCGUGAGGCUUUUUGCAUGUACCUUAUGAAUAAGGACCGGCUAAUUCCGUGCCAGCAGCCGCGGUAAUACGGAAGGUCCGGGCGUUAUCCGGAUUUAUUGGGUUUAAAGGGAGCGUAGGCCGGAGAUUAAGCGUGUUGUGAAAUGUAGAUGCUCAACAUCUGCACUGCAGCGCGAACUGGUUCCCUUGAGUACGCACAAAGUGGGCGGAAUUCGUGGUGUAGCGGUGAAAUGCUUAGAUAUCACGAAGAACUCCGAUUGCGAAGGCAGCCCACUGGAGCGCAACUGACGCUGAAGCUCGAAAGUGCGGGUAUCGAACAGGAUUAGAUACCCUGGUAGUCCGCACGGUAAACGAUGGAUGCCCGCUGUUGGUCUGAAUAGGUCAGCGGCCAAGCGAAAGCAUUAAGCAUCCCACCUGGGGAGUACGCCGGCAACGGUGCAACUCAAAUGAAUUGACGGA